AGACGCACACACUGGAAAACCAGCGCCUAUACUUCAUGCAGGAGAGACGGCCUCAGUGAUAAUUCAUCAGCAGCUGUGGAGAGAUGCAUUUGAAUAUCUUCUGGUUCCACUUUUCCUUACCUGGAAGCUGAGUAUUGCUGAUUUCUGACAAGGACACAAACCUCAGUGCUUAUCAUGGGUGUUACAUCCUCUGUGCAGCAAUUCCAGAGACAACGAGAGAGCAACGACCACUCAUUAAGACCAUACAGAAAUCUGUCCCUUUCUGGCAGCUGUGGAAACUUCCAAUAAGAAAGUUUGCAUUCUUAGAGCAAUGCUGGAUCAUGUGUGAUGUGUCAUCAUAUGAGGAUAUUACAUUUUGCCUUAAUUCUGCUCAAUUAAGUGUUUUGAUCGUUGAUCCAGUAUGGCAGCUUUGUGUUGUGCUGCAAGUUAAAACCCAUUGUCCUCAUGAGCGCAGCAUCUAACAACUCUCCUUAAAAAAAAAGUCAAUUGACUUUAACUGGACACAAUGGUUUCCAGUGGGAGAUACAUUCAUCACUCAUCCGUGACACUGGAGAAGUCACCUGGAUGAGUGAUAAAACAAUUUUCCAUGGAAAAUCCAGAGGAACUAAACUUUGUUGUUGUUUCUUUGGGCUCAAUUUCAGCCUCAGGCAAAAUUGAGCCCAAUUUCUUCUUUCAGAAGAAUGUUUUCUUCUGAAAGAAGAAAA